rnacentral:SRP_RNA from 1 species
GCCGGGUGUGGUGGCGGCGCCUGUAGUCCCAGCUACUUGGGAGGCUGAGGCAGAAGAAUCGCUUGAACCCGGGAGGCGGAGCUUGCAGUGAGCCAACAUCGCGCCACUGUGCUCCACCCUGGGUGACAGAGCGAGACUCUGUCUCCA